UACAGGGUUCAUAUUGGGCAAUUGACAACAACCCACAAGAUGACAGUCUAAGGAAGAAGAGGAGGCAUCCUGGUCAGUCACCCUAUAGUCCUGAAGAGAGUUUAGAGAGCUCUGGUGGGAGUAUCGGCAGCGUUAUAGUUACCCCAGCAUUCUCAAAUAAUCAUUUUGCAUCACCGCCUCAUAGUCACUUAUCAAACUCUGGAGACCACAGAUUAUUUGAGUCAAACCCCAAUAUAGAAGACCUCAGUGCAUCCUUCAGAAGUUUAUACAAGAAAGUAUUUGAUAACCCACAAGGAGGUAAGG